rnacentral:rRNA from 1 species
AUGAUGUGCAACACCAACAUUUUUGACAUCCUCAUAAAGCUGGGUGGAUGCGAGCGCAUGUCUCGUAGGCCAUACGACAUCUAUCUUUACACCGACAACUUUAUGUUCGGCCGGCAUGCUGAAAAGCAAAAACUCUUGUGCUUCUUGUUGCAGCACAGACCUGCUGGUGAUGCAUCAGCCAUUCUUCCGAUCAUAGGUGGUGCCAAAGUUGGGAAGAAAAGUUUGGUUGCUCAUGUGUGUGGCGACGAAAGGGUUCGCUCGUGCUUCUCUUCUGUUUUGCACUUGAGUGUUAUUGAGUUUGGUUCUGAUGUAAGUGAUGAUGACUGGAAAAACUUCCACUCAUUUCUCUUAACAAUGGGCAGAGGAAGCCAUAUCAUCAUCAUAAGUAGAAUUCAAAGAUUAUCCCGCUUUGGAUCCGUAAAACCGAUUUUUCUUAGUGUUAUGUCUUAUGACGAGUGGAGGUACCUAUUCAAGACACUAGCAUUCAGGAGCGUAGACCCGGCAGAACAUCCACGUCUACUCAAAAUAGCAGAUGAAGUUGCCAGGCAGUUGCACACACAAGGUUCACUUGUCGCAACAAAUGCUUACGCAGAUUUGUUGAGAAGAAAUCUCAAUGCCCAGUUUUGGCAUUGCCUAUUGGACAAGGGGAUAAGGAUGAUUAAAAGAAACAUCGGCAUGUAUGGUGUGCAUCCAAGCAUGCUUAUAGAAGAAGGGCACCCGGUGGACAUAACGGACUUUGCUAUGCAUCCACUUAGCAUGAUACCUUAUACGACUAAUGUUUCAAUCAAGAAGGAAUCACCAAGUGUGACAUUUGGGGAGUUGCUAGCGGAUCCUAGUGUUAGACCGAAAGAAGACUUCAUUCUUAUUUCCUAG